GCCCGCCUGGCUCAGUUGGUAGAGCAUACGACUCUUAAUCCUAGGGUUGCGAGUUUGAGCCCAUGUUGGGUG
rnacentral:tRNA from 1 species